GUUAAGAUAGCCUGAACAUGUGAAAGUUGGUUUGGUGUCUCUAUCUUGAACGGUUCAAGAAUGACUGUUGAAUCAAGUGCUGGCGAGAAGAAUGCAAGG
rnacentral:lncRNA from 1 species